rnacentral:rRNA from 1 species
CUACGGAGGGUCCGAGCGUUAUCCGGAAUCAUUGGGUUUAAAGGGCCCGUAGGCGGUAAUCUAAGUCAGUGGUGAAAUCUUGCAGCUCAACUGUAAAAUUGCCAUUGAUACUGGAUUUCUUGAAUUAGUGUGAAGUGGUUAGAAUGUGUAGUGUAGCGGUGAAAUGCAUAGAUAUUACACAGAAUACCAAUUGCGAAGGCAGAUCACUAACACUAUAUUGACGCUAAGGGACGAAAGCGUGGGGAGCGAACAGGAUUAGAUACCCGAGUAGUCC